rnacentral:lncRNA from 1 species
UUGGGCCCAUCCGACAUUCACGGGCGCCGUCCACCCCCUCGGACGGCGGCAAAUGGAAUGGAAUACCGUCCACCGCCAUGGCCGGCGGUCGGGAUGGUGUCGGUGCGUGCUUUGCGGUGGGCGCCGAGGAAAGGCGCUCGGCAGGACCCUAUGGGCGCUGGAGCGUUCUGAGCAGGCGAGUGCAGUCGAUGUGCGUCCGGCUGCCCGCACCGCCGCGCAGCGCGCAGACGGCGGAGCGUCGCCGGCCACUGCGGGCGACGGGAAACGGAUGGCGAUGACUUCGCCUCUUCGGCGCGUCUUCCCACCGAAACAACCGCCGGCGUAUUCCCGUCGCAGGCAAGUCACCCCUAGCAUCAGCAGUAGCGCUGACGGAUUUUUCGCCCAAUUUUACAAGUCAGAUCGGCCGCUGUGGUAACUUACCUGGCAAGUGAGGCAGUAGCGCUGAAAAAUUACCAGCGUAAUUUACCACUGGUAAGUGAAGCAGUAGCGCUGAUAAUUUGCUAAACCUUCAUGUAAAAGUCAGAUCGGCCGCUGUGGUAAAUUACCACCGGUAAGUGAAGCUUGCAAAACACUUUAUCCCAAACUGGAUACAUGAAGUUGUUUCAUACAGAAAAACGGUAGCCAAUUAUUUCUUAUACUGUAUAAUUAGCAUCGGGCUUAUCCAAAAAUAUUCUUACUUUGCAAAAUGCUCUAAAUUGCAGUGGAAGGCCCUCCGAUGUUGUACCGAGUAAUGGAGUUCUGACUUCCUGUCGGCAUGGACAGGUCUCGUCCUGCUAACAUCCUGUUGAUAUGGACCUUCAUGUCAGUUGCAGCGUGCAACUUACCGAGUAUGGCAUCGGCGAACUGAAAAUAUGCCUUUCUUGUAGUUGCGCUAGAUAUAAGGGUCAAGCAAACAGUGGAGAAUCCAGUUGCAAAACCCAGCAAUGUACACAUGUAUGUCAGCUUAUCAAAAUGCUUCUUG